CCGGAAUAGCUCAGUUGGUAGAGCAGAGGACUGAAAAUCCUCGUGC
rnacentral:tRNA from 1 species